rnacentral:rRNA from 1 species
GACGAACGCUGGCGGCGUGCUUAACACAUGCAAGUCGAACGGAAAGGCCCUGCUUUUGUGGGGUGCUCGAGUGGCGAACGGGUGAGUAACACGUGAGUAACCUGCCCUUGACUUUGGGAUAACUUCAGGAAACUGGGGCUAAUACCGGAUAGGAGCUCCUGCUGCAUGGUGUGGGUUGGAAAGUUUCGGCGGUUGGGGAUGGACUCGCGGCUUAUCAGCUUGUUGGUGGGGUAGUGGCUUACCAAGGCUUUGACGGGUAGCCGGCCUGAGAGGCGGACCGGCCACAUUGGGACUGAGAUACGGCCCAGACUCCUACGGGAGGCAGCAGGGGGGAAUAUUGCACAAUGGGCGGAAGCCUGAUGCAGCAACGCCGCGUGCGGGAUGACGUCCUUCGGGGUGUAAACAGAUUUCGCCUGUGACGAAGAGUGAGUGACGGUAAUGGGUAAAGAAGCACCGGCUAACUACGUG